UAUAAUAUUGUGUAGCUGCAGUGCACGCGAUAUAUAUUAUCGGGUAUGGGGCAACUCAGUAACAGCAGCUUUUGUUUUACGCGAUAUUUCGUUUGAUGUUAAAAGCGAAUUUACGUUGUGCGCUACAAUAUAAUAAUAAUAAUAAUAAAUACGUGCAUACAUACGUGCGCACAUACAGUAUACGAGAUGUUUACGUUAUUUACCUAAACUGCUG